UACAGAGGAGGAAAGAGUGGGGAGGAAGAAUUGGGCGUAAAGGGUGCGUAGGUGGCGGGGUAAGUCUGGUGUGAAAUCUCGGGGCUCAACCCCGAAACUGCACUGGAUACUGCCUUGCUUGAGUACUGGAGAGGAGAUUGGAAUUUACGGUGUAGCAGUGAAAUGCGUAGAUAUCGUAAGGAAGACCAGUGGCGAAGGCGAAUCUCUGGACAGUUACUGACACUGAGGCACGAAGGCCAGGGGAGCAAACGGG
rnacentral:rRNA from 1 species